rnacentral:rRNA from 1 species
GCAACUCGCCUGCAUGAAGCUGGAAUUGCUAGUAAUCGCGGAUCAGCAAGCCGCGGUGAAUACGUUCCCGGGCCUUGUACACACCGCCCGUCACACCAUGAGAGUCGGGAACACCCGAAGUCCGUAGUCUAACCGCAAGGGGGGCGCGGCCGAAGGUGGGUCCGGUAAUUGGGGUGAAGUCGUAACAAGGUAUC